rnacentral:rRNA from 1 species
AGUGAACGUUGGCGGCGUGGAUUAGGCAUGCGAGUCGAGCGAGAACCGUAGCAAUACGGGGACAGCGGCGAAAGGGACAGUAAUAUGUAGGUACCUACCCUCGGGUCCGGGAUAGCUGCGGGAAACUGCAGGUAAUACCGGAUGACAUCUCCGGAUCAAAGGUGUGAUUCCGCCCGGGGAGGGGCCUGCAUCCUAUUAGCUAGUUGGCGGGGUAACGGCCCACCAAGGCGACGAUGGGUAGCGGGUGUGAGGGCACGACCCGCGUCAUUGGGACUGAGACACUGCCCAGACACCUAGGGGUGGCUGCGGACGAGAGUCUUCGGCAAUGGGGGAAACCCUGACCGAGCGACGCCGCGUGCGGGAUGAAGGCCUUCGGGUUGUAAACCGCUGUCGUGGAGGAGGAAAUGCAGUGGGGUUCUCCCCUCUGUUUGACCUAGUCUAGGAGGAAGGACGGGCUAAGUUCGUGCCAGCCGCCGCCGUAA